rnacentral:rRNA from 1 species
UGGGGAAUCUUGCACAAUGGGGGAAACCCUGAUGCAGCGACGCCGCGUGAACGAUGAAGCCCUUCGGGGUGUAAAGUUCUUUCGACGGGGACGAUAAUGACGGUACCCGGAGAAGAAGCUGCGGCUAACUACGUGCCAGCAGCCGCGGUAAUACGUAGGCAGCAAGCGUUGUUCGGAAUUACUGGGCGUAAAGCGCGUGCAGGCGGGCGGGCAAGUCUGAUGUGAAAGCCCCGGGCUUAACCUGGGAAGUGCAUUGGAAACUGCUCGUCUUGAGUACUGGAGAGGAAGGGGGAAUUCCCGGUGUAGAGGUGAAAUUCGUAGAGAUCGGGAGGAAUACCAGUGGCGAAGGCGCCCUUCUGGACGGUAACUGACGCUGAGACGCGAAAGCGUGGGGAGCAAACA